rnacentral:rRNA from 1 species
CCUACGGGAGGCAGCAGUAGGGAAUCUUCCGCAAUGGACGAAAGUCUGACGGAGCAACGCCGCGUGAACGAUGAAGGCCUUCGGGUCGUAAAGUUCUGUUGUUAGGGAAGAACAAGUGCUAGUUGAAUAAGCUGGCACCUUGACGGUACCUAACCAGAAAGCCACGGCUAACUACGUGCCAGCAGCCGCGGUAAUACGUAGGUGGCAAGCGUUGUCCGGAAUUAUUGGGCGUAAAGCGCGCGCAGGCGGUUUCUUAAGUCUGAUGUGAAAGCCCCCGGCUCAACCGGGGAGGGUCAUUGGAAACUGGGAAACUUGAGUGCAGAAGAGGAAAGUGGAAUUCCAAGUGUAGCGGUGAAAUGCGUAGAGAUUUGGAGGAACACCAGUGGCGAAGGCGACUUUCUGGUCUGUAACUGACGCUGAGGCGCGAAAGCGUGGGGAGCAAACAGGAUUAGAUACCCUGGUAGUCCACGCUGUAAACGAUGAGUGCUAAGUGUUAGAGGGUUUCCGCCCUUUAGUGCUGAAGUUAACGCAUUAAGCACUCCGCCUGGGGAGUACGGUCGCAAGCUGAAACUCAAAUUGAAUUGACGG